GUCCCUGUAGCGCAUUGGAAGCGCUUUGCACUUAUAAUGCAAAGGUCGUGGAUUCGAAUCCCACCUGGGAUG